rnacentral:rRNA from 1 species
UACGAAGGGGGCUAGCGUUGUUCGGAAUUACUGGGCGUAAAGGGCGCGUAGGCGGUCCUGAUCGUCGGAUGUGAAAGGCCUGGGCUCAACCUGGGAACUGCAUCCGAUACGGCGGGACUGGAGUGUGGGAGAGGUUGGUGGAAUUCCCAGUGUAGAGGUGAAACUCGUAGAUAUUGGGAAGAACACCGGUGGCGAAGGCGGCCAACUGGACCACAACUGACGCUGAGGCGCGAAAGCGUGGGGAGCAAACAGG